UACGUAGGGGGCAAGCGUUGUCCGGAAUCAUUGGGCGUAAAGCGCGUGUAGGCGGUCCGGUAAGUCCGCUGUGAAAGUCGGGGGCUCAACCCUCGAAUGCCGGUGGAUACUGUCGGACUAGAGUACGGAAGAGGCGAGUGGAAUUCCUGGUGUAGCGGUGAAAUGCGCAGAUAUCAGGAGGAACACCAAUUGCGAAGGCAGCUCGCUGGGACGUUACUGACGCUGAGACACGAAAGCGUGGGGAGCAAACAGG
rnacentral:rRNA from 1 species